rnacentral:snoRNA from 1 species
GUGAAGAAGAGGUCGGAGUGCUGAUAGGUGAGGAGAAGCGGCAUGCGGA